rnacentral:miRNA from 1 species
CAGGUGGAGCCGCCGCAAGUGCAGAUCUUGGUGGUACUAGCAAAUAUUCUAAUGAGAACUUUGAAGGCCUAAAUGGAGAAGGGUUCCAUGUG